rnacentral:rRNA from 1 species
AUACGGAGGGUGCAAGCGUUAAUCGGAAUUACUGGGCGUAAAGCGCGCGUAGGCGGUUUAGUAAGUCGGAUGUGAAAGCCCUGGGCUCAACCUGGGAAUUGCAUUCGAUACUGCUUGGCUAGAGUAUGGUAGAGGGUAGUGGAAUUCCUGGUGUAGCGGUGAAAUGCGUAGAUAUCAGGAGGAACAUCAGUGGCGAAGGCGGCUUCCUGGCCCAAUACUGACGCUAAGGUGCGAAAGCGUGGGGAGCAAACAGGAUUAGAAACCCCGGUAGUCC